rnacentral:rRNA from 1 species
GGAGGAUCCGAGCGUUAUCCGGAUUUAUUGGGUUUAAAGGGAGCGUAGGCGGACGCUUAAGUCAGUUGUGAAAGUUUGCGGCUCAACCGUAAAAUUGCAGUUGAUACUGGGUGUCUUGAGUACAGUAGAGGCAGGCGGAAUUCGUGGUGUAGCGGUGAAAUGCUUAGAUAUCACGAAGAACUCCGAUUGCGAAGGCAGCUUGCUGGACUGUAACUGACGCUGAUGCUCGAAAGUGUGGGUAUCAAACAGGAUUAGAUACCCUGGUAGUCCACACAGUAAACGAUGAAUACUCGCUGUUUGCGAUAUACAGUAAGCGGCCAAGCGAAAGCGUUAAGUAUUCCACCUGGGGAGU